UUGGACAAUUUCCAGUCUAAAUACUUAUGGAAGGACAAUGGAGGAUCUGUCGAAUUCCGGUGAAGACGACGAACCGGAAGAAGUCUUGAAGAAGACUCUCGAGAUAAGCUGAAAUAGACGCAUAACCAGUCGGGAAUACGGAAGAUCUAGCAAUGCCGAGUAAAAUGGGCGGUGAACCGAGCGAGAUUAUAAGGCCGAUGAUACAGUCUGGACUCUCUUCGAGGCGGCCUUUAGUACGGAAAGAAAGACGGAAAUAACGUCAAAAGAAACGAAAAGAGAUUCGAGGAAGAGGGAUCGAAAAAGUACGAAGCGUAAAAUCGAUGCACCCAAAAUUACUUCGACGAACGGAUCGCUUCGCUAGCACCGAAGGAGGAGUUCGUGAUUUUUCAGGCGUCGCACAAAUCGAAGGCAAUGCGCCAAAGCGUGGGUGGAAAGAGAAAACGAACGAGACAGAAGAACGCGAUGAAAAGAGAGAGAGAGAGAGAGAGAGAGAGAGAGAGAGAGAAAGAGAAAGAGAGAGAAACGGAAGUGAAAAGUCAGACCGGAAUGGAGAUACCCGAAGUUGCAUAAUCGAGCGAGUGGCAGUGAAACGUCGUAACUUUGCGAGCGAAUAAAACUUGACUAAGUGAAUCGAGUGAAUAGAGGACCAAAUGAAAGAAAGUGGAACCAGAAAAUCCAUUGAAAAGUUUUCUCACUCGCGAACGUACCGAUUCUUUCGAUAUUGUCCUCCUCGUACGCGCGUAAUUUUCGAUAACUAUGAGUUUCUUCGAAUGGUUCGACGAUAUUUUCAUGGAUCGACCGACGUAUUCUUUUUACUCGGACAAAGUGUGCUUUAGUUGGCAGAUAAAACGAGAAGGAUCAAUCUUCGAAAUAGAAACGCGUCUUUAAAAAAAAAAAAAAAAAAAAAAAAAAAAAAGAAAAAAAAAGAAAAAGAAAAAAAAAAGAAAAAAAAAGAAAAAAAAAGAAAAAAGAGAAGCGAAACGCGUCAAUUUCCUCGGUCCGAUUGUUUAAUCAAGCUCUAGUGUAAAACACGUACAUAGAUACCCGAUACUCGAAUUUUCGAAUGUUUCCAAUUUCGAUGAAUUAAUCGAAUCGAGAUUAAAUCCUUUGUUAACGUUUUACGUGUUCUUUUAUAAGCAUUUGACUCAAAAUGAGCAAUCAAGUUUAACUAGAAUCCCUUUUUACUUUCUCUCUCUCUCUCUCUCUCUCUCUCUCUCUCUCUCUCUCUCUCUCUCUCCCUUCCAUUUUUAAAGCAACGUAUGCAAAUAAACUCGCAAGGGAAGUGUUAAAAGAGCAAAGGAAAUAAAAAAGGGUAAUACUAAAGCUUAAUUCGUCGGCCUAUAAUGGCACGGAAGGAAAGAAGGAGCGGUCCUCUUGCAUUUCUUUUCGCGGCGCGCCCGCGACGAUAAUGAAACGAGGUGUGCUCGUUCCACUGCGAGGACUUUGAGGGUUUUCAAGUGCAGGCCAAGUAAGACUGUGGAUAGGGAGGAGAACUGGGUAUAUUUAGUGGCAGUGGACUCCACCCGCUGUCCGCCCAAUAUUAACUCGCGCCAUAAUGCGCUAAAUUCUCUACUACCCAUGCUCGCUAUCCUUUUCUUUACUCUGUAGAGAGCGCGAGCUUUAAAUCUUUCUCCAUCUUUCUCUCUCUCUCCCUCUCUUUCUGUCGAGUAACCGGCAACCUGUGCUACCGCUCGUAUAUCCUUAAAUCCGCAUCGAACAAUUGCCCGUGCCUUUUACCUUUUUUUCUCUCUUCUC